rnacentral:rRNA from 1 species
UACAGAGGGUGCAAGCGUUAAUCGGAAUUACUGGGCGUAAAGCGUGCGCAGGCGGUCUUGCAAGACAGGUGUGAAAUCCCCGGGCUCAACCUGGGAACUGCACUUGUGACUGCAAGGCUGGAGUACGGUAGAGGGGGAUGGAAUUCCGCGUGUAGCAGUGAAAUGCGUAGAUAUGCGGAGGAACACCGAUGGCGAAGGCAGUCCCCUGGACCUGUACUGACGCUCAUGCACGAAAGCGUGGGGAGCAAACAGG